rnacentral:rRNA from 1 species
UACGAAGGGGGCUAGCGUUGUUCGGAAUUACUGGGCGUAAAGCGCACGUAGGCGGAUACUUAAGUUAGGGGUGAAAUCCCGGGGCUCAACCCCGGAACUGCCUUUAAUACUGGGUAUCUCGAGUUCGAGAGAGGUGAGUGGAAUUCCGAGUGUAGAGGUGAAAUUCGUAGAUAUUCGGAAGAACACCAGUGGCGAAGGCGACUAACUGGACAUGUAUUGACGCUGAGGUGCGAAAGCGUGGGGAGCAAACAGG